GAUGUGUUACUAUAUGGGUGUAGUUCUUAAAUGACUACACAGUCUUUUAUAUUCAUGAACAUAAUACUCCUGGAUGGCGCAACCCAACGUCAUCCUUUUUUUA
rfam:Staphylococcus aureus subsp. aureus NCTC 8325, complete genome.